rnacentral:rRNA from 1 species
CCUACGGGAGGCAGCAGUGGGGAAUAUUGGACAAUGGGCGAAAGCCUGAUCCAGCAAUGCCGCGUGUGUGAAGAAGGCCUGCGGGUUGUAAAGCACUUUCGGUAGGAAAGAAAAGGCCGUCGCUAAUACCGACGGUUCUUGACGUUACCUACAGAAGAAGCACCGGCUAAUUCCGUGCCAGCAGCCGCGGUAAUACGGAAGGUGCGAGCGUUAAUCGGAAUUACUGGGCGUAAAGAGCGCGUAGGCGGUUCGAUUAGUCGGAGGUGAAAUCCCUCGGCUUAACCGAGGACCCGCGUCCGAUACUGUCGAACUUGAGUGCAGGAGAGGAGCGCGGAAUUCCCGGUGUAGCGGUGAAAUGCGUAGAGAUCGGGAGGAAGGCCGGUGGCGAAGGCGGCGCUCUGGAACGUUUCUGACGCUGAGGCUCGAAAGCGUGGGGAGCAAACAGGAUUAGAUACCCUGGUAGUCCACGCCUUAAACUAUGAAUACUAAGUGUCGGCAGUUUACUGCCGGUGCCGCAGCUAACGCAUUAAGUAUUCCGCCUGGGAAGUACGGCCGCAAGGUUGAAACUUAAAGGAAUUGACGG